CGGCGCGGCCCGUGAGGGCGGCGGGGGCUCGGUCGGGCCGGGCUCGGGACACUGGGAGCACCGGAGGUCCUUCCCGAGCGGCGGCGGAGCCGGGACACCGCCUCCCUGAGCCGCUCCCCUCGCACAGCCCCAGUUACCGAGACACCCAACAAUGGCUCCCGGGGAGCAGUGGCACCCACCGAAGCUGGUGACAGCGUAGAGAAGCAGCCCUUGUCCACCAGUCAAACAACCCUGGAGGGACCGAGGAGACUCAAGAGCCAGCCUCAAGCCUGUCCCUGCCAGUGACAAGAAACACCUUGAUGAACUCUAAGCAAAGGUGAGACUCCAAACAAACCCUCUGCAACCAAACCCUCUGGAAACCAAACCCCAUCUUUGCCCCAGGGCAAAAUGUUUCUCUGGUGACUAUGUUUGGAAGAAAACAGGAUUGUUUGAAAUGUCCCCUGUUGUUCCUGCCUCCCGGCAGGAAUUACAAAAAAGAAAAUAAAUAGCCGAUUUUUGUUAUUGAAAGUUUGAAA
rnacentral:lncRNA from 1 species